GAAGAAGUAACAUUUAUUGUGUGCCUGAACAAUUCCAAUCAGAUAGACAAGCAUUCUCUUUCUCAGCUCAGCUUGUUUACAUAUAGACAUUUUCUACUUACUCUCUGAGCCAUUGUGCCAUUAUCCUGCAAUCCACCUAGUCUCGCUAACUGGAUUUCCAGGAUACUUCCUAGGACAGCUCCUCUCUCUCCAUUCCCAUCUUGGUGUCCUGGUUCACUCGCAGCACUGCUCCUAGGCUCUCUCCAGAGUUUCCAUCUUUCUGUUCCAUGUCACAUUCCUCAUUAGUUUCCCUACAUCUGAUCAGACUUUCUCAAUGCCUCAGACUAAUUAUAUGCCAUCGUUUACAUGCACGGAACUCUCAGGAUUAACUGAGCCACUUAUGUCUGUCUGACCUCUCCUACUUUUCCAGCUGGCAUCCUUUUCUGCCACUGCCAGCCAAAGCAUCACUACUCCACCUUUACUAGUAACAAGCAAUUGAAUAAUUCAUAACAGGCAUUUUUUUUUUUUUACAAAAUGAGUAAAGUGCCUCAGUCAACCUCAUGGCUGUCUUUUAAAGUAGCUGCUCCCAUUGUGCCAUCUCAUCUCUACAGAUGGGUAAGUCAAGUCAUGGGGCAGGUAGUUAAUGGUCUAAGGUAGAACCCAAGAAGACCAUCCGCAGAAACUAUUUUUCUAACUGCCUUGCUAUGCUGUCACGUCCUGGGCAGUGGCACUCCCAUUACAUCAUACAUUUCCUAACUCUUCCUCCUGUUCCUUGCUUUGAGCUCCUGUGCACUGUUGGACAGAGUCCUGCACCUGCCUUCUGUGCACUGUGCCACCACCUGCACUGACAUUCAGUGUCUCUCUUUGCACUGUGAUUUCAGCCUCUGCACAUUUCUCUCCUGGACACUGCUGUCUGGGGCAGACCAGGCUUAGCUGUGUCUCUGCUCAAUACAUAACGGUUAGCACACAGAAGAUGCUCAGUAAAUGUUUGUUCACUGAAUAAAGCACCAAUCUCGGACAGAUAGAGCUAUAGUAGUACUACUAAAAGUGAGACUAUUUUAAAGUAACUGUAACUUUAAACACAAAAACCCUUGAUAUGUUCUUUAAAACGAAAAUGCAUUUAUAUAAUAUGAAGUGAAUGUUGAUAAAAUGGCUGAGCCCCAUUGGCUGAUAGAGCAAGGUUUUACUUCAUUCUCUGAUACUUUUGUUGGGGGAGGAAGAAAUAACUAAUAUGCAGCAGAGAGUGAAAAUGUGGAUUGGUACCUCAUACCAUCACAGAUCACUGCUUAAAACAAUGAAUCCCUCAUCAUCGCUUAUAUUGAAAUAAUUACCAAGAGGAAGGCAAGCUGUACUGAAGCAGUAGUGAAAUGGGCUUGUGAGCUUCAUGCAAGAGAUAUAUACAGCAAGUCAUUAUAAUACAUUAGUGACAGUGACACUUCUGGCUUUCAGUUGACAGCUACUCAUCCACGACUUAUCUCUUUCAACAACCAAAAUGAGACGUCACUGCUUUUAAAAAUCACAUUUUGUCAUGUCUCUGUACAUUAAAGCUCUUAACAUGUUAAUCUAAGUGGUUAUUGAUGACUGUAAGAUCAAGUUCCGUUGAAGUUUUGUUGUAAUCAUCACAUUUAAUGGAAAUAACCAUAAGCACAGCAGUGCCUUGUGCUGGAUCAUGCACUAUCACAUGAAUAUCUUCUCCUUUUACUUCGUUAAUAUGCGUACCUUUUACAGAGCAGAAGGCUCACAUACUUACUGAUUCAUGAUUAAGACUUAAUCUGGGAAAGGGGGGGCUUCAGAAAUCAUUUUGAAAAAUUAAGAAAAUAUGAUAAUCCACAUAGCUACUUGACAAUAAGACAAAGAAAAUUUAUGUAUAUUGGUUAAUAAUUUUAAUUGGUAGUCAUUGUAAAUUACAUAUCAUUUUUUAUAAAAAGAAACCAACAGCUGUUUCCUUAUUUUGAUUGUCAAUUGUUUACUAUUUUAUGCAUUUGGUUGUCAAGCACUGCCACUUCUGGAAUGCUUAAUUUACAUCAGCUAAAUAGGUAGAGAUAUGUGGAUUGCAUUGUACUGCCAUGGAUACGCAGAGAGACAAAUAACAGGACCUGCUUUCCAGGCUGUAGAUAGGCCUAGGGAGAUCUUCACUCACAACAUCUUAAGCUGAGUACUCACAAUGAAGCUAAGACACAGUUAUUGUUAUAAUCCAUUUACAAACAAUGUUUUGUGGGCAUAAUCACCAACAUUUAUACUUUAUAAAAUAUAUGUAGCAGAGAGCCAGGCAGAUCUCUGAGUUUGAGGCCAGCCUGGUCUAUACACAGAGUGAGAUCCAGGACAGCCAGGCCUGCACAGAGAAACUCUCUUGAAAAACAGUUUUUCACACAGCAGUGAAAAGAAAAGAAUUAGCAUACUACAAUAUAGAACUGACUUAGAAUAGUCAUGAACGUGGAGUGCUUAAGUCCUGAGGUGGCCUUUUAUUGCCCCAAGCAUGUUUAACAAUUGAUGAAGUGAAUAAAAUUUCAAAUGACAAAGAUGGCUUAAUAAGUUGGCAUUUUGCUUUAAAACAACAACAACAAAAUUCAAAUUCCAUCAUUUCCAGAAAAUAUAUAUACCAACUGAUUGCUCUCAAAUAAGAAAACCAAUUUUAGUAUAAGUAUAUAAUUUGCAUUUCAAUUUGUUUGGAAGGUUGAGGUAUAUUACCAGCCAUAUUUUUGUAUUUUAGAAAUAUUAUUAGGUAGCAUAUGAGGAAAAAUGGGCUAAUUGUUAUGUUCUGCUAUAAAAGUGUUGUUCUGUUAGCUUGUAUUGUCUGG
rnacentral:lncRNA from 1 species